rnacentral:rRNA from 1 species
CCUACGGGCGGCAGCAGUGGGGAAUAUUGGACAAUGGGGGGAACCCUGAUCCAGCCAUGCCGCGUGUGUGAAGAAGGCCCUCGGGUUGUAAAGCACUUUCAGUGAGGAAGAACGCCUGGUGGUUAAUACCCAUCAGGAAAGACAUCACUCACAGAAGAAGCACCGGCUAACUCCGUGCCAGCAGCCGCGGUAAUACGGAGGGUGCGAGCGUUAAUCGGAAUUACUGGGCGUAAAGCGCGCGUAGGUGGCUUGAUGAGCCGGUUGUGAAAGCCCCGGGCUCAACCUGGGAACGGCAUCCGGAACUGUCAAGCUAGAGUGCAGGAGAGGAAGGUAGAAUUCCCGGUGUAGCGGUGAAAUGCGUAGAGAUCGGGAGGAAUACCAGUGGCGAAGGCGGCCUUCUGGACUGACACUGACACUGAGGUGCGAAAGCGUGGGUAGCAAACAGGAUUAGAUACCCGAGUAGUC